UGGGGAAUCUUGCGCAAUGGGCGAAAGCCUGACGCAGCCAUGCCGCGUGAAUGAUGAAGGUCUUAGGAUUGUAAAAUUCUUUCACCGGGGACGAUAAUGACGGUACCCGGAGAAGAAGCUCCGGCUAACUUCGUGCCAGCAGCCGCGGUAAUACGAAGGGGGCUAGCGUUGCUCGGAAUUACUGGGCGUAAAGGGCGCGUAGGCGGACGGCUUAGUCAGAGGUGAAAGCCCAGGGCUCAACCUUGGAAUUGCCUUUGAUACUGGCCAUCUUGAGUACGGGAGAGGUGUGUGGAACUCCGAGUGUAGAGGUGAAAUUCGUAGAUAUUCGGAAGAACACCAGUGGCGAAGGCGACACACUGGCCCGUUACUGACGCUGAGGCGCGAAAGCGUGGGGAGCAAACAGGAUUAGAUACCCUGGUAGUCCACGCUGUAAACGAUGAGAGCUAGUUGUCGGCAUGCAUGCAUGUCGGUGACGCAGCUAACGCAUUAAGCUCUCC
rnacentral:rRNA from 1 species